rnacentral:rRNA from 1 species
UGGUGGGUUGCCUUGUCAGGUUGAUUCCGGUAACGAACGAGACCUCAGCCUGCUAACUAGUCACGUGUGCUUCGGCACACGGCGGACUUCUUAGAGGGACUAUUGGCGACUAGCCAAUGGAAGCAUGAGGCAAUAACA